UACGUAGGGGGCUAGCGUUGUCCGGAAUCAUUGGGCGUAAAGCGCGCGUAGGCGGCCAGAUAAGUCCGGUGUGAAAGUCACAGGCUCAACCUGUGAAUGCCGCUGGAAACUGUCUGGCUAGAGUCCGGAAGGGGCGAGUGGAAUUCCUGGUGUAGCGGUGAAAUGCGCAGAUAUCUGGAGGAACACCGGUGGCGAAGGCGGCAUCCUGGACCGAGAUUGACGCUGAGGCGCGAAAGCCAGGGGAGCAAACGGG
rnacentral:rRNA from 1 species